rnacentral:rRNA from 1 species
GACAGAGGGUGCAAACGUUGUUCGGAUUUACUGGGCGUAAAGCGCGUGUAGGCGGCUUUGCAAGUCGGAUGUGAAAGCCCAGGGCUCAACCCUGGAAGUGCACUCGAGACUCCCGAGCUGGAGUCCCGGAGAGGAAGGCGGAAUUCUCGGUGUAGAGGUGAAAUUCGUAGAUAUCGAGAGGAACACCUGUGGCGAAGGCGGCCUUCUGGACGGUGACUGACGCUGAGACGCGAAAGCGUGGGGAGCAAACAGG